rnacentral:tRNA from 1 species
GGUGGCUCAAUGGUAGAGCACUUGCCUUGCAUGCCUGAGGCCCUGGGUUUGAUUCCCCAGCACCA